CCCCGACGGCGCCCCACCACCCCUGCUGUCGCCGCUCCCUCUCCCCAACGCCUCCCGAUUUCAGUUCUCCACGCCCCGAUGCCGCACCACCCUCCCAAGCCGCGCAACGCCGCUCUCAUCCUCCCGGCGCACCCGGCGCCGCACCCUCCUACCGAUGGGGCAUCGUCCUCACGCGCAGCUCGAUGCCGCACCCUCAUCGCGACGCCGCUCUCCUCCCGGCGCGCCCGGCUGCCGCACCCUCCUCCAGUCGGGGUUCCCCUCCCGACGGCGUCUCUGGAGAUCGAUCCCUGGGGUCCCCUACUGCCGCUGCUCUCCUCACGACGGUGCUUCCCUCGUGACGACGGCGCUCCCCUACUGCCGAUGCCGCUCCCUCGUUCCUGCUCUGCUCCCUCCUCCCGACAGCCGUCCAUCCGCCCGACGGGGAUCCCCUCCUGGCGACGCCGCUGCAUCCUCCUGAUGCCGCACCCUCCUCCCGUCGGCGUUCCGUGAGAUUGAUCCAUACUCCCGUCGCCGUCGCCGUCGCCCUGAACUGCCGACCGGAUCCUCCAUUAAGUUCACAGCUCGAAGCGUGAUCAUGGUUGAAGCGCUUGUGAUCCCUCGCCCCCGGCCGAAGAUUUAUGCACCUGAUGAUAAGCUACAUUUGCCACAUGCUUAGUGGACUAAUGUUCAACUGCACAAUUAAUCUAAAAGCUUCAGCUUUCAGAUAUACGUGGCUUAGCCAUAAUUUUGUUAUCCUCUAUUUUGCAGAUUAUCCGAUGGGCACCAUACUUCAUCCCAAAACAGUCUAAGCCCGAUGCUGUGCGACCAAUCUACCUCUCAGCAAGCUUGCACACCGUCUCCUUAACCUGUGCAUGUAUUUUUAAUCGCCCUCUCCGAUAAAGCCUUCUGGUGUGUCAGUCCAUCCUCCAUUCAAUUCAUUUAUAUGUUGUCUUGGUCUGCAAAUCUUCCAUGCCAUUGUUUGGCACUCAUUGUCAUAGGCUCAUUUUUCAUGGUGAAUCGGGAGGUUCGUGACUUUCAUUUUGGGUUUGCAAUUUUUAUUUGAGCUAUAGGAUUUGAUGAAAUAUGGGACCACCUCAGUUAUGUUUGAAAGGAAAUCCUGAUCCCAUAUAUAUCGAUAUGUUAUGAGUGAUGAUGUUGUGGAAGUGAAAGGCAAGGUGGCCUGCGAGAUAAGCUCAGCUGAUGAGAUAAAAUUGACAGAGCUUAUGUUUUGUGGCACUUUGAAGGAUGCUACCAUAUAAGAUAUGGUUUGGCAGAAGCUCCAGGAUGCCCAGAAGCCUAGGGAGGAGCUUGAUUUGCUCUUCUACCAAUUGCAGGAAACAGCGAGAAGGGUUGAUAACCUUCAGCUAGAGUGCAAGAUCCAAAUUGACUGGAAAGCUUUCUGAAUUAUUUCUGACCUGACAUAAUGGAAGCGGUGUAUUCAUGGGCCAUAGGGUCGAUCUACCAAAUCAUGGGGAUGACUCAAGUGUUUGAAGGCAGCUUGAACAGGGCCAUCAGGAGGCUGGAAGAGGCUCUGCAGCAGCUAAUUCUGGCAUCCAGGUCGAUUGGGGAAACCGAAUUGGAAGCAAAACUUGAGGCAGUCAGCAAGAUCAAGAGGGAUAGAUAUAGUAUUCGCUGUAUUUUUGUACUUGUAACAUAUCUUGAUGGCGUCAUGAUUUUGUAAAAGUGCAUAGAGAAAUUAAACCUCUCUUAGCUAUGUUGUUUCAAGUGCUGUUGGCCUGAUGGAACUGUCUAGUGGUAACAUGUAGUAGUGAUAUGGCAGGCAAAGUUUUGUUAGUGUUGUUAACCUUGUAGGGCAUGUUUGGAAUGCAAGAUGUAAGAAUGCAAGAUGUCCUAAGCUCUACCAGAAAUUCUGGAGAACCACAGGAACCGAUGUCGCUUGUACGCACUAAAAUCCAUUUUUUAUUUU